UGUGACCUCAAAUCAGGUAGGACUACCCGCUGAACUUAAGCAUAUCAAUAAGCGGAGGAAAAGAAACUAACAAGGAUUCCCCUAGUAACUGCGAGUGAAGCGG
rnacentral:rRNA from 1 species